ACGACAACCGGGGAUGGAGUUCUUGUACUGAAACAGAAAAACAUUAAAUGUAAAACAACACAAGCUCAGAGAUUCAAGAAGAAAGAAAGAAAACAAAAAGCUUAUAAAGCUAAGGUGAGUAAAAACAAACAUGGACAAUGCAGAACAGAAUCCCUAUCAUUUGGAAUUAAUUUACACAACGGAUUCGAAAGACUAGGCCUAGGAGAAGAGCUGUGCAACAAUUCAAAAAAUGAAGAAUGUCAUUCAUACGAAAAUAGGACAACAGGGGAUGAAGCUGUCGCACCAAAAAAGAAACCCAUUAGAAAAACAAGAGCUCAGCGAAACAAAAAGAAAGAAGAAAAACG